rnacentral:rRNA from 1 species
UUGGUCAAUGGACGCAAGUCUGAACCAGCCAUGCCGCGUGAAGGAUGAAGGUCCUCUGGAUUGUAAACUUCUUUUAUCUGGGACGAAAACGGGAUUUUUAUCUCAAUUGACGGUACCAGAGGAAUAAGCACCGGCUAACUCCGUGCCAGCAGCCGCGGUAAUACGGAGGGUGCGAGCGUUAUCCGGAUUUACUGGGUUUAAAGGGUGCGUAGGUGGGCUUAUAAGUCAGUGGUGAAAUCUCCGAGCUUAACUUGGAAACUGCCGUUGAUACUAUAGGUCUUGAAUUAUCUGGAGGUAAGCGGAAUAUGUCAUGUAGCGGUGAAAUGCUUAGAUAUGACAUAGAACACCAAGUGCGAAGGCAGCUUACUACAUAUAAAUUGACGCUGAGGCACGAAAGCGUGGGGAUCAAACA